CCCGGAGACGGCCCUCUCCUGCCUAGGCCAAUCACCGGAGCGGCGGGGGCCGGCGCUGCGGACCCGGGUCCUCCUCUCUGCGCGCCAAUUAGCCAGCCUAGCUGUCGCUCAGAAGGUCGCGCCCCGCACCCGCCUUCCACCUCUUCCUCCACCCUCCCCUUCGGAAAAAACGGCGGUUGGGCCGCGGCGGCCGCCAACGGCCAGCGGGAAGCGGAGGGGCGAAGAGCCGGGGAGCGAGGGAAGGAGGGACUGUGGGGAGGCGGAGGAGGAGGAGGAGGAGGGGAGCCCGGCCCAGCCGGAGCCAUCUCUGCUGAGAACAAAAUGGCGGCGUUGGCGGAGGGCCAAGUGUGAGGCGGGGCCGCGGCCAUUCCCCCUCCGCCCCCACCCUCGCGCCGGCCGGGCCGGUCAGGGGGAGCCCGCUCGCUUCGCCCGGCCGCGGGCGGGGAGGGGAGCGGCCCGGCCCACUAUGCAAAGCGUCCGGCGGCGCCGCCGCCGCCCCGUGGCAAAGCCUGGUGCGGACUGUGCUCUCGACGCGUCCUCUCGUCGAGAGGGAGCUUCUGCCCAGCUCAGGAAGUGUUUGUUAAAUGAAGAAGCGGGACCUAACUGGCAUGAUGGAUUCGCCCAGCCACGCAGCGGAGCGCCUGGAGGUCGGAAAUGGGUGGCUUAUUGGGUGGGUAAUGAACUGCUUGCGCCUUAUUUGGGACAGAUGGGAUGAUGUUGAGGUUUUAAAGAUCCCAGGACGCGCCAGCGUCCCAGGUCAAGGGUCGAAACUCUCCAAAAUGUACCAUUUGUGUCUGUUGUUGUUGACAUACGAUCCAAAUCUUAGGGAGUAAUGCCAAUGCCCCUUCCUCUCGAGAUUAAGGAAGUAGUAAAGGAUGACUACAUAAACGCACGUAAAGGCCACUCUUAAGCAUCUUGGGUUGUAGAUUUUCCUUAGGUAAUUCUCUCUCUUUAUAAGUUACGGUUUUUACUUGCCUGGAAGUUGUGGACCAGUUAUUAUUUAUCCUAGAUCUCCUGAAGUAUUUAAAUUAGAUUAUCCUCCAUCACCACGAUUUGUAGGCCGCAUAUUCUGUGCUUAUUGGUUUCUUUUUACCCCCUGCACUUUUCUUUGGUUAUUAGGAGUAAAUACUGACUCCAAAAUGACCUCUUAAACAGUAGCCAUUUAGGUUUUAAUCAGAGUAAUCUUAAAUUUGAGUAUUUUGCACAUAAUCUAAUAAUGUUUUUAUUUGAAAGAAAAUGCUAUAAACACACCCAUUUUCCUUUUCUCCUUUCAAUUUGUUAAGUAAUAAAUGAGGGACUGUGCUGAGUUUGUAGGGUUAUGCUGAACUAUAAGUCUAACUUUUGUUUAAUUAAAGAAAUUGUAGGUUUACAGAAAAAUGCAGCAAGUACCGUGUUUCCAUAGCCCCUCCCAGCUCACCAUCACACACACCAUAUUUUUCCUAUUAUUAACACUUUGUAUUAGUGUGGUAUCUUUGUUACAGUUGAUGAAACUUUUUAAUAACUAUACUAUUAACUAUAGUCCAUUAGUUUACAUCAGGGUUCACUGUGUUGUACAGUUUAUGGUUUUUAAAUUUUUUUAUUCUGGUAGCAUACUGUAUUAGUCAGCCAAAGGGGUACUGAUGCAAAAUACCAGAAAUUGAUUUGUUUUUAUAAAAAGUAUUAUUUGGGGUAGGAGCUUACAGAUACCAGGCCAUAAGGCAUAAGUUACUUCCCUCACCAAAGGCUAUUUUCACAUGUUGGAGCAAGAUGGCUAACGACGUCUGCGUCUGCGAGGGUCCAGGCUUCCGGGGUUCCUGCCUUCCCACGGCUUGCUUCUUUCCAGGCUUAGGAGUCCUCUCUUCCUGGGGUUCCAGCUUAAGGCUUCAGCAUCAAACUCCAGCAUCAAAACUCCAACAUCAAAAACCCUACAACUCGAACACCAAAAACCCUACAACUCUGUCCUUUGCCAUGCCUUUUAUCUGUGAGUCCCCACCCACCAAAGGGAGGGGAAAUCAGCACCCUCCUGGCACAAGAGGUUUACAUAAUUACUUUAGUAAACCUAUGAAUCCAGUAUAAUCUAAUAUGCCCAGGGAAAAAGAUCAGUUUACAAACAUAAUCUCAUAUUUCUUUUUGGAAUUCAUCAAUAAUAUCAAACUGCUACACAUACGUCCAACCUAAAUUUCCUUUUUUAACCACAUUAUUGUAAAUAUACAAUUCAGUGGUGGUGUUUACAUUCAGGGUUUUGCUGAGGUAAAUCGUUGCGAACAUGUCCUGCUUUGCAGUUGAGUACCCUUUUUCAAAAAUUAAGUUUUUAAUGUUAAUGCUCCUAGGUAUACUGUAAAAAAAAAUUAACUCAUCAGUGAAACUUUUGAAACAUGUUACACUUGUACUAAAUUUUAAAAUAAAUAUUAAACAAAAACUAAUAUUUCUAUAGUAGCAUAUUUUCUAGUUUCUUUAAUUUUGUACUUAGUAGCUCCAUGAAGGAAGGCACUGCUAUUUCCAUUCUACCGCAGCAUGGGACCUGCCGGUUGUCACAGGCAUGAUGAGGGAAGCCAGGGCUUUGAUCUAGUCCUUCUGAAGUUAGUGUCUGUUCACUAAACCAUGCAGCAUCUGUCUACCUUGUUUAUAAUAGUAUUCCAUAAAAUUUUAGUUAAAGGUUUGUUGUUUAAUAUAAUAGAAAGUGUUCAUAAUCUUGAGCAGCUUUUCCCCUUAAAAUAAAUGUACACGUACACACCGAUUGCAUUCAAUGUCAGCAGGUGAUGGACCUCUGAAAGCUGAAGUAAACGUUGCCACAGUGCCUUUUUUUUUUUUUUUUUGCCCCAUGUGUUUUCACCAAGGAGUCUUGUUAGUAAGAAUGCUUUUAUAUGACCUUGUAACACUUAAUGGAUUUAAUAGUCACAAAAAAUACAAGUUGUAUUGCACUAGCCACACUUUUACCCUGUUUCUUUUGAGUUCUGUUAAUGAGAACAUUCCACAUUUGCAUUAAUGCUUUUAACAUUUUUCAAAUCAGCCUUUAAAAUAAAUGUGACCCAGGGUGCACUUUAGAAUUACCAGGCACCCAGAGGUUCUGAAGCAGUAAGCAUUGGGUGGGGCUUGGCAUCCGUGCUUCUGCUGAGCAUCACAAGUAAUUCUGAGGCAUACUCCAGGCCUGAGCCACUAAUCUAAUUCCAAGCCAUGUGGCAAAAAUAAAAUAAAAUAACUAGUUUCACUUUCUGAAAUGCAGUUGAGGGGAAUUUCUUUUUUAAACUCUGACCACACUUGGAGAUUUUUCAUUCGUGAGUACACUGGGCUCGCUGGGCAUGGUGAUCUGUCUGGCAGUACCCAGCCCUUGUCUGUGCAUUAUCUCAGCACCUACCCAGACUGAGCCUGUUAUUGGGAUGUGCCUUGUGGCUCUGUCACAGCCCUUACACAGUAUCUCAGGCAAAGUGGAUAUGAAAUGGGCAUCUGUUGAAUGAAUGUUUUUCCCAGCAACAGUUAUGGGGACAAUAUUCAUAUCAUCACCCCCGUUUUUACAGAUGAACUCAGUGAAGAGGUUCAGUACUUCCUUGUGCUGGGCUGUGAGCGUCUUGCUUCUGGCUUCUUGCACAGUGCACUUUGGCUGAGAACCAGGUAUUCCCUGCUCCACCCACACGUUUCUUUGGGCAGGUCUUUUUUUUUUUUAAUUUAUUUAUUGAGGUGAAAUUCACAUAACUAUUUUAAAGUGUGCACAAUUCAGUGGCUUUCAGUAUAUUCACCUCGUUGUAACAAGCUCCACCUCUGUCUAGUCCUAAAACAGUUCCAUCAGUCCAAUAUAAAACCCCUUACACAUUAAGCAGUUUCUCCCUAGUCCCUUCUCAUGACACACCCCCACCCCCACCAGCCCUUAGCAACUACUAAGCUGUUUAUCUAUUCUGGAUAUUUCAUAUAAAUGGAAUCAUACAAUAUGUGAUCUUUGUCUCUGGCUUCUUUCACCGAGAUUAAUGUUUUGAAGGUUCACCCACAUUGUAGUAUAUAUCAAGAGUUCAUUCCUCUUUAUUGCUGAAUUAUUUAUCAGUCUGUUCUGCAGUUGAUGAUUGAUCAACUUGUCUGUCUCUCUUGCUAGUCUAUGAUCUCCUUGAGAGUGGAAAGAACUGUAUAGCUUCAUUUUGUAUCUAGCAUGGAAUAAACAUGUUUUUGCCAUCUGAGGUUAAAAUCUGCAUUUAAAUGAUAAAUGUUGAGUAAGCAAAAAUCACAUUUUGAUUAAACAAUAGUUGUUGAUGUGCUAAAUUUGCAAAUUACUGUUUUCAAGCAGAAAUUUUUACUUGUAAGGAUACUGCUUGUGUGAUAUAAAAUUUAUUUUCCUUUUUUAUAUUGUAAAUUGUUGAUAACUUGUAUCCUCAUAGGUUGAGAGGCUUAAUAAUGACCUUCAUAAAUACUUAUGUACAUCUUUGUAUUAAUUUUUUUAAUUAUGAGCAAGUACUUAUAUAUAAUGAUCAUUUUAUUAGAUUUCUGUUUAUAUGACUUGUGUAAUUGACAUGUUUAUAAAAUAAACUUUUAAACCUCAUAAAAUUGCCAUUAGCUUUG
ensembl:lincRNA